rnacentral:rRNA from 1 species
CCAUCAAUGGCCCAGAUGGAUUAGCUAGUAGGUGGGUAAUGGCUCACUUAGCGACAUCCCUAGCUGUUCGAGAGGAAGACCAGCCCCCGGAACUGAGCCCGUUCAGAUUCUACGGGAGGGAACAGUGGGGAAUUUGCACAUGGGGCAAAGCUUAUGCAACAAUGCCGCGUGUGUGAAGAAGGCCUCGGGUUGUAAAGCCUUUUAACGAAGAAGAAAGGGUUAUGUGUUAAUAGCCCAUUCAUUGACUUUCUCGCAGAAAGAAGCCCCGGCUAACUCCGGUCCCGGAACCGCGGUUAUUCGGAGGGUGGAAGCGUUAAAUCGGAAUUUCUUGGGCGUUAAAGGGCACGCAAGCCGUUUGGUUAAGUCAGAUGUUGAAAUCCCCGGCCCUAACGUGGGAACCGGCAUUUGAAACUGGCAAACUUAAAAUUCUUGUUGGAGGGGGGGUAGAAUUCCAGGGGUAGCGGGUGAAAUGCGGAGGAAGUUCGGAAGGAAUUACGGUGGCGAAAGCGGCCCCCCGGACAAAAGACUGACGCUCAGGUGCGAAAGCGUGGGGAGCAAACAGG